CUUUAUCAUGUGGUGAAGAACCUAUCUCAGAGGAAUGGACCAAUGAUUGGGAAGAACUCAAGUGACAUAUAAGACAUUUUACUAGGUACACCGAGACACCUUUUGAUUCCAACACAGCUGCUGUGAUCAAUGGUGGCAGCUUGGCCAUAUGGCACCCGCCUGCAGGCCCCACCAGAGAGCAUCAGGCCCAUCAUCCAUAGACUAUGCUGCCCACCCUUCCUUCCUCUGCUGCAAACUCAGCUGCACCCAGAGUGCUCUCCCUCUUCCCGUGGCCGUUCAUGGUGCUUCGUGAAUGUGGAAAGAUGGAUCUAACGGUGUGACCGUUGAAAGCCAGGGAUUAGUCCCUCUAAAUUAGCCCAAUAAAGCAAUUACAACAGAGA